UAGGUCAAGAUGUAGGACUUUCAGCUCCUUCUCCAGCAUCAUGUCUGCCUGCAAGCCACCAUGCUGCACCAAGAUGGUAAUGGAUUAAACCUCUGAAAAUGUCGAGACGUAGGACUCUCGGCUCCUUCUCGAGCACCAGUUCUGCCUGCAUGCCACCAUGUCCCAUAAGGAUGAUAAUGGACCAAGUAAACCUGGGAAAACGUCCUGAACACAGACACUGAAAAUACUUCCAAGGGAGCACCAGCUGCAGAUACUCAUUCUAUUUUCUACGUCUUUUAUGUUCUCCCCAACAUUAUUUUUAUAUGUGUAUGUGGUGUAAAUAUUUGUAUGUGCACUUAUACAUCCAUGUGGGUUCAUGUUCUUGA